rnacentral:rRNA from 1 species
GACGAACGCUGGCGGCGUGCUUAACACAUGCAAGUCGAACGGAAAGGCCCUGCUUGCAGGGUACUCGAGUGGCGAACGGGUGAGUAACACGUGGGUGAUCUGCCCUGCACUUCGGGAUAAGCUUGGGAAACUGGGUCUAAUACCGGAUAGGACCGCACUUUAGUGUGUGUGGUGGAAAGUUUUUUCGGUGUAGGAUGAGCUCGCGGCCUAUCAGCUUGUUGGUGGGGUAGUGGCCUACCAAGGCGGCGACGGGUAGCCGGCCUGAGAGGGUGUACGGCCACAUUGGGACUGAGAUACGGCCCAGACUCCUACGGGAGGCAGCAGUGGGGAAUAUUGCACAAUGGGCGCAAGCCUGAUGCAGCGACGCCGCGUGGGGGAUGAAGGCCUUCGGGUUGUAAACUCCUUUCGCUAGGGACGAAGCUUUUUGUGACGGUACCUAGAUAAGAAGCACCGGCUAACUACGUG